rnacentral:rRNA from 1 species
CCGACGGGUGAGUAACACGUAUGCAAUCCACCUGUAACAGGGGAGUAACCGGAGAAAUCCGACUAAUACCCAUAAUAUGGGCGCUCCGCAUGGAGAGUCCAUUAAAGAGAGCAAUCUUGGUUACAGACGAGCAUGCGCUCCAUUAGCCAGUUGGCGGGGUAACGGCCCACCAAGGCGACGAUGGAUAGGGGUUCUGAGAGGAAGGUCCCCCACAUUGGAACUGAGACACGGUCCAA